AGCGUAACGGAGGAGUACGAAGGUACGCUAGGUACGGUCGGAAAUCGUGCUGAUAGUGCAAUGGCAUAAGCGUGCUUAACUGCGAGACCGACAAGUCGAGCAGGUGCGAAAGCAGGUCAUAGUGAUCCGGUGGUUCUGUAUGGAAGGGCCAUCGCUCAACGGAUAAAAGGUACUCUGGGGAUAACAGGCUGAUACCGCCCAAGAGUUCAUAUCGACGGCGGUGUUUGGCACCUCGAUGUCGGCUCAUCUCAUCCUGGGGCUGUAGCCGGUCCCAAGGGUAUGGCUGUUCGCCAUUUAAAGAGGUACGUGAGCUGGGUUUAAAACGUCGUGAGACAGUUUGGUCCCUAUCUGCCGUGGGCGUUGGAUAUUUGAAGGGGGCUGCUCCUAGUACGAGAGGACCGGAGUGGACGAACCUCUGGUGUACCGGUUGUGACGCCAGUCGCAUCGCCGGGUAGCUAUGUUCGGAAGAGAUAACCGCUGAAAGCAUCUAAGCGGGAAACUCGCCUUAAGAUGAGAUAUCCCUGGAGGCUUGACCUCCUUGAAGGGUCGUUCGAGACCAGGACGUUGAUAGGUCGGGUGUGUAAGCGCAGUAAUGCGUUCAGCUAACCGAUACUAAUUGCCCGUAAGGCUUGAUCCUAUAACA
rnacentral:rRNA from 1 species